GCCAGGUGUGGUGGCGCACGCCUGUAAUCCCAGCACUUUGGGAGGCCGAGGUGGGUGGAUCACCUGAGGUCAGGAGUUUGAGACCAGCCUGACCAACAUGGUGAAACCCCAUCUCUA
rnacentral:sRNA from 1 species